CGUACACUCCUACGGGAGGCAGCAGUGGGGAAUAUUGGACAAUGGGCGCAAGCCUGAUCCAGCCAUGCCGCGUGAGUGAUGAAGGCCCUAGGGUUGUAAAGCUCUUUCACCGGUGAAGAUAAUGACGGUAACCGGAGAAGAAGCCCCGGCUAACUUCGUGCCAGCAGCCGCGGUAAUACGAAGGGGGCUAGCGUUGUUCGGAUUUACUGGGCGUAAAGCGCACGUAGGCGGACUAUUAAGUCAGGGGUGAAAUCCCGGGGCUCAACCCCGGAACUGCCUUUGAUACUGGUAGUCUUGAGUUCGAGAGAGGUGAGUGGAAUUCCGAGUGUAGAGGUGAAAUUCGUAGAUAUUCGGAGGAACACCAGUGGCGAAGGCGGCUCACUGGCUCGAUACUGACGCUGAGGUGCGAAAGCGUGGGGAGCAAACAGGAGUAGAAACCCCUGUAGUCCCAUGAU
rnacentral:rRNA from 1 species